rnacentral:lncRNA from 1 species
AAAAGGAAUGACUUUUAUUUAGAACAGAUGACUGCACAUUCUCAAAAAUUCUAAGGAAGGAAAAGUUCAAGCUACUAAUCUCUGGCUGAAUAGGGAAAAAUAUAUAAACUCCCUGAACUUUAAUAGCAGCCUCCAAGCCAUACACAUAUAUAGUGGUAAAGGGUAAAAUUCUAAUUCGCUGAGGGGCGUAAGCAUAAUCACUUAACAAUAAGUGGCUUAUGCCAACUCAGGGGCAAUCUCUAAGUAGCCAAGAUAAAAGAUAAAAAUAAAACAAAGAAAAGAUCAGGAAAAUAAUAGGCUGCACAGAAUUAGUUCAGCUAAGUUUUUAAACAAAUAACCAAAAUGACCAAGUGAAUAAUAAUGACCCUGGUGGGGAUGGGGAGAUUCAGUAUCCAGAUUUAUAUCCAGUUUUCAAUAAAAAUUACGAGACAUUCAAAGAUGUAGUAAAGUGUCACCCAUACUCAGGGAAAAUAAACAACAGGUAAUAGAAAGUACUCUUA